rnacentral:rRNA from 1 species
UACGUAGGGUGCGAGCGUUGUCCGGAAUUAUUGGGCGUAAAGGGCUCGUAGGCGGUUUGUCGCGUCGGGAGUGAAAACCUUGGGCUUAACUCAGGGCUUGCUUUCGAUACGGGCAGACUAGAGGUAUGCAGGGGAGAACGGAAUUCCUGGUGUAGCGGUGAAAUGCGCAGAUAUCAGGAGGAACACCGGUGGCGAAGGCGGGUCUCUGGGCCGUAACUGACGCUGAGACGCGAAAGCGUGGGGAGC